GGUUAAGCGACUAAGCGUACACGGUGGAUGCCCUGGCAGUCAGAGGCGAUGAAGGACGUGCUAAUCUGCGAUAAGCGUCGGUGAGGUGAUAUGAACCGUUAUAACCGGCGAUUUCCGAAUGGGGAAACCCAGUGUGUUUCGACACACU
rnacentral:rRNA from 1 species